rnacentral:rRNA from 1 species
GACGUAGGAGGCGAGCGUUUGUCCGGAUUCAUUGGGCGUAAAGAGCGCGCAGGCGGCUUGGUAAGUCGGAUGUGAAAUCCCGAGGCUCAACCUCGGGUCUGCAUCCGAUACUGCCCGGCUAGAGGUAGGUAGGGGAGAUCGGAAUUCCUGGUGUAGCGGUGAAAUGACGCAGAUAUCAGGAGGAACACCGGUGGCGAAGGCGGAUCUCUGGGCCUUACCUGACGCUGGAGGCGCGAAAGCUAGGGGAGCGAACAGG